GAUGAACGCUGGCGGCGUGCCUAAUACAUGCAAGUCGAGCGAACAGAUGAGGAGCUUGCUCCUCUGACGUUAGCGGCGGACGGGUGAGUAACACGUGGAUAACCUACCUAUAAGACUGGGAUAACUUCGGGAAACCGGAGCUAAUACCGGAUAAUAUAUUGAACCGCAUGGUUCAAUAGUGAAAGGCGGUUUUGCUGUCACUUAUAGAUGGAUCCGCGCCGCAUUAGCUAGUUGGUAAGGUAACGGCUUACCAAGGCAACGAUGCGUAGCCGACCUGAGAGGGUGAUCGGCCACACUGGAACUGAGACACGGUCCAGACGCCUACGGGAGGCAGCAGUAGGGAAUCUUCCGCAAUGGGCGAAAGCCUGACGGAGCAACGCCGCGUGAGUGAUGAAGGUCUUCGGAUCGUAAAACUCUGUUAUUAGGGAAGAACAAAUGUGUAAGUAACUAUGCACGUCUUGACGGUACCUAAGCAGAAAGCCACGGCUAACUACGU
rnacentral:rRNA from 1 species